rnacentral:rRNA from 1 species
UACAGAGGUCUCAAGCGUUGUUCGGAUUCAUUGGGCGUAAAGGGUGCGUAGGCGGCGCGGUAAGUCGGGGUGUGAAAUCUCGGAGCUUAACUCCGAAACUGCAUUCGAUACUGCCGUGCUUGAGGACUGGAGAGGAGACUGGAAUUUACGGUGUAGCGGUGAAUGCGUAGAUAUCGUAAGGAAGACCAGUGGCGAAGGCGGUCUCUGGACAGUUCCUGACGCUGAGGCACGAAGGUCAGGAGCAACGG